GCCCGCUACAGAAACUCAAAGGAAGUUGACGGGGCCCGCACAAGCGGUGGAGUAUGUGGUUUAAUUCGAUGCAACGCGAAGAACCUUACCUGGUCUUGACAUCCCGGAGACCCUUAGGAAACUAGGGGUGCUUCCAUCUGGAAGAAUCUGGAGACAGGUGCUGCAUGGCUGUCGUCAGCUCGUGUCGUGAGAUGUUGGGUUAAGUCCCGCAACGAGCGCAACCCUUGCUUAGUUGCCAGCAGUUCGGCUGGGCACUCUAAAGGGACUGCCGGUGUUAAACCGGAGGAAGGUGGGGAUGACGUCAAGUCCUCAUGGCCUUUAUGACCAGGGCUACACACGUACUACAAUGGCCGAUACAAAGGGCAGCGACACUGCGAGGUGAAGCCAAUCCCGUAAAAUCGGUCUCAGUCCGGAUUGGAGUCUGCAACUCGACUCCAUGAAGUUGGAAUCGCUAGUAAUCGUGGAUCAGCAUGCCACGGUGAAUACGUUCCCGGGCCUU
rnacentral:rRNA from 1 species